rnacentral:rRNA from 1 species
UAAGACGAACCGUGCAAACGUUAUUCGGAAUCACUGGGCAUAAAGGGCGCGUAGGCGGCUCCAAAAGUCAGGGGUGAAAUCCGGCAGCUUAACUGUCGCAGUGCCUUUGAUACUGUGGAGCUAGAGGGAGGUAGGGGUCUGUGGAACUUCCGGUGGAGCGGUGAAAUGCGUUGAUAUCGGAAGGAACGCCGGUGGCGAAAGCGACGGACUGGAUCUCUUCUGACGCUGAGGCGCGAAAGCCAGGGGAGCAAACGGG